CCAGACUCCUACGGGAGGCAGCAGUCGGGAAUAUUGCGCAAUGGAGGAAACUCUGACGCAGUGACGCCGCGUGCAGGAAGAAGGUUUUCGGAUUGUAAACUGCUUUAGACAGGGAAGAUACAAGACAGUACCUGUAAAAUAAGCUCCGGCUAACUACGUGCCAGCAGCCGCGGUAAUACGUAGGGAGCAAGCGUUAUCCGGAUUUAUUGGGUUUAAAGGGUGCGUAGGCGGACAGUCAAGUCAGCGGUAAAAAUGCCGUGCUCAACGCCGUACAGCCGUUGAAACUGGCAGUCUUGAGUGGGCGAGAAGUAUGCGGAAUGCGUGGUGUAGCGGUGAAAUGCAUAGAUAUCACGCAGAACUCCGAUUGCGAAGGCAGCAUACCGGCGCCCGACUGACGCUGAGGCACGAAAGCGUGGGUAUCGAACAGGAUUAGAUACCCCUGUAC
rnacentral:rRNA from 1 species